rnacentral:rRNA from 1 species
CCUACGGGAGGCAGCAGUCGAGAAUCAUUCACAAUGGGGGAAACCCUGAUGGUGCGACGCCGCGUGGGGGAAUGAAGGUCUUCGGAUUGUAAACCCCUGUCAUGUGGGAGCAAAUUAAAAAGAUAGUACCACAAGAGGAAGAGACGGCUAACUCUGUGCCAGCAGCCGCGGUAAUACAGAGGUCUCAAGCGUUGUUCGGAAUCACUGGGCGUAAAGGGUGCGUAGGCUGUUUCGUAAGUCGUAGGUGAAAGGCGCGGGCUCAACCCGCGGACGGAACAUGAUACUGCGAGACUAGAGUAAUGGAGGGGGAACCGGAAUUCUCGGUGUAGCAGUGAAAUGCGUAGAUAUCGAGAGGAACACUCGUGGCGAAGGCGGGUGCCUGGACAUUAACUGACGCUGAGGCACGAAGGCCAGGGGAGCGAAAGGGAUUAGAUACCCCUGUAGUC